rnacentral:rRNA from 1 species
GACGAACGCUGGCGGCGCGCUUAACACAUGCAAGUCGAACGGAAAGGCCUGCUUUCCCUUGUGGAUUGCGGGUACUCGAGUGGCGAACGGGUGAGUAACACGUGAGUGAUCUGCCCCCAACUUGGGUAUAAGCCUGGGAAACUGGGUCUAAUUCCCGAUAGGACUGCAGGGUGGUGCCUGUGGUGGAAAACGAUUUUCUAGUGGUUGGGGAUGAGCUCGCGGCCUAUCAGCUUGUUGGUGGGGUAAUGGCCUACCAAGGCGGCGACGGGUAGCCGGCCUGGGAGGGUGGACGGCAACAUUGGGACUGAGAUACGGCCCAGACUCCUACGGGAGGCAGCAGUGGGGAAUAUUGCCCAAUGGGCGGAAGCCUGAUGCAGCGACGCCGCGUGGGGGAUGACGGCCUUCGGGUUGUAAACUCCUUCCGACCGCGAGGAAGCCACCUGGUUGGAAGGGUGGUGACGGUAGUGGUAGAAGAAGCACCGGCUAACUACGUG